GGAAAGCGGCCUUCCGGGACUCCGCAAACUCCCGUUCUCCCUCCCCCCUCCCCCUUGCCAUUCCCUUUGCCUUCCGGGCGCCAAGUCUCUCUGGCCUCCAAGGUGAACCCAACUCCCCAGCGCGCCCCGGGUUCCCGGGUCGGGCCGGCUUCAGGCGGUGGGGAGCGGGAUCCCGGGCCCCGGGCGGGCGGGAGGGACGGGACGCGGUGCAGUGUUGUUUUUUCCCCCGCCAAUAUUGCACUCGUCCCGGCCUCCGGCCCCCCCGGCCCCCCGGCCUCCCCGCUACCCCUAGCGGGGCAGCCCCCGCCCUCUUGGCUCUCCAUCCCGGCGGAUCUUUGAUAGACUGGAGUGUCGCCGCUGCCACCACGGGAAAAUGGGUCAUGGAGGAGUGACUUCACCAACAUCACUCAUAGGUGCUUGUGUCCAUGGUGAGAAGGGUGAUGGAGAGAAGUGGCUGCAGUUCCCACCCAUGGAGAGGUCACUGGUGAAUCCCAGCUAAAGAGGAAGGACAGGCCCGGCCUGAGUCCCACAGGCUUACCAUCUGAGUCCUUCUGAUUGGGAUUGGGUACCAGGCGGCAGUUAUCAGGACCAGGAGGCACAUAAUCUGGGAUGCCAUCAUUGUCAUCAUCCCCAUCACACUCAUCUCCAAGUCCAUCGUUAUCAGAGUCCAGCUGGGAGCUAUUUGGCAGCUGUGGGCAGUUGUCCUUGGUGUCCUGAUGCCCAUCCCCAUCGCUAAUCAGAAGAACAGGUUGGUGAAAGUCCUGAACUUUGUCUCCCCACCCAGAGGACAACUGGCCAGGAAAUCUGCCUGUUUCUUGUCUCACCCUCUAGUCCACACUCUGCCUAACGCUACGCCCUACCUCACAUUCCUAUUGACAUCUGCUGCAGGUAAUCUCUCCUCACCCAGGCCAACGUCCACAAGC
rnacentral:antisense_RNA from 1 species